rnacentral:rRNA from 1 species
UACGAAGGGGGCUAGCGUUGCUCGGAAUCACUGGGCGUAAAGGGUGCGUAGGCGGGUCUUUAAGUCAGGCGUGAAAGGCCUGGGCUCAACCCGGGAAUUGCGCUUGAGACUGGGCUGGCUUGAGUGCGGGAGAGGAUGGUGGAAUUCCCAGUGUAGAGGUGAAAUUCGUAGAUAUUCGCAAGAACACCAGUGGCGAAGGCGGCUCACUGGCCCGGUACUGACGCUGAGGUGCGAAAGCGUGGGAGCAACAGGGAUUAAGAAACCUUGUA